GGUGGAGCAUGUGGUUUAAUUCGAAGCAACGCGAAGAACCUUACCUACUCUUGAAAUCCAGUGAACUUAGCAGAGAUGCUUUGGUGCCUUCGGGAACACUGAGACAGGUGCUGCAUGGCUGUCGUCAGCUCGUGUUGUGAAAUGUUGGGUUAAGUCCCGUAACGAGCGCAACCCCUAUCCUUAUUUGCCAGCGUGUUAUGACGGGGACUAUAAGGAGACUGCCGGUGACAAACCGGAGGAAGGCGGGGAUGACGUCAAGUCAUCAUGGCCCUUACGAGUAGGGCUACACACGUGCUACAAUGGACGGUACAGAGAGUCGCGAGACCG
rnacentral:rRNA from 1 species